rnacentral:rRNA from 1 species
ACGAACGCUGGCGGCGUGCUUAACACCUGCCAGUCGAACGGAAAGGCCUUGCUUUUGUGGGGUGCUCGAGUGGCGAACGGGUGAGUAACACGUGAGUAACCUGCCCUUGACUUUGGGAUAACUUCAGGAAACUGGGGCUAAUACCGGAUAGGAGCUCCUGCUGCAUGGUGGGGGUUGGAAAGUUUCGGCGGUUGGGGAUGGACUCGCGGCUUAUCAGCUUGUUGGUGGGGUAGUGGCUUACCAAGGCUUUGACGGGUAGCCGGCCUGAGAGGGUGACCGGCCACAUUGGGACUGAGAUACGGCCCAGACUCCUACGGGAGGCAGCAGUGGGGAAUAUUGCACAAUGGGCGGAAGCCUGAUGCAGCAACGCCGCGUGCGGGAUGACGGCCUUCGGGUUGUAAACCGCUUUCGCCUGUGACGAAGCGUGAGUGACGGUAAUGGGUAAAGAAGCACCGGCUAACUACGUG